rnacentral:rRNA from 2 species
UACGUAGGGGGCAAGCGUUAUCCGGAUUUACUGGGUGUAAAGGGAGCGUAGACGGCAAGGCAAGUCUGAAGUGAAAGCCCGGUGCUUAACGCCGGGACUGCUUUGGAAACUGUUUAGCUGGAGUGCCGGAGAGGUAAGCGGAAUUCCUAGUGUAGCGGUGAAAUGCGUAGAUAUUAGGAAGAACACCAGUGGCGAAGGCGGCUUACUGGACGGUAACUGACGUUGAGGCUCGAAAGCGUGGGGAGCAAACAGG